rfam:Myotis davidii contig153771, whole genome shotgun sequence.
GGUGGUUCUCGGGUGAUACACCCCAGAAUUGGGCUCCCUCCUCUCUGGUUCCAGCUGCAUCACCCGAGAACUGCA